AUUGAAGUAUUCCACAGGGGUCAAAAUUUAAAAAUGCUCAAAUCAUUUUGAAACAUACACCACAUUAUUUGUCUGACCAUAAAGGUUCCAAAAAGGUAGAGUUUGGACUAACUAUGGCUGAAUGUUAUCGUGU